GAUGAACGCUAGCGACAGGCCUAACACAUGCAAGUCGAGGGGCAUCGGGGCGUAGCAAUACGCUGCCGGCGACCGGCGGAUGGGUGAGUAACGCGUAUGCAACCUACCUUCAGCAGGGGGAUAGCCCGUUGAAAGACGGAUUAAUACCCCAUAACACAGGGGCUCCGCAUGGAGAUUAUUGUUAAAGGGAUGCUUCCUUCGGGGAGUAUCCGGCUGCAGAUGGGCAUGCGUUCCAUUAGGUAGUUGGUUGAGGUAACGGCUCACCAAGCCUACGAUGGAUAGGGGAACUGAGAGGUUGGUCCCCCACACUGGUACUGAGACACGGACCAGACUCCUACGGGAGGCAGCAGUGAGGAAUCUUGGUCAAUGGACGGAAGUCUGAACCAGCCAUGUCGCGUGAAGGAGGACGGCCCUAAGGGUUGUAAACUUCUUUUGCAGGGGAAUAAAGUAUUCUACGAGAUGGGAUAUUGCAAGUACGCUGCGAAUAAGGAUCGGCUAACUCCGUG
rnacentral:rRNA from 1 species